GGAAGACCAGCAGAAUCCUCAAGAGGUCUUUAAGACGCUGGUAGACUUGCUGAAUGACAAAGAAGAAGCUUUGGCUCAUCAAAGAAAGCGCCACAGUUAAGAUUAUCCUUCUAUCUCCUAAUAUAAAGAAGAAAUUCCAGAAUACCUGUGUGGCCGUAAUUCGAG